UAAGGAAUAUUGGUCAAUGGGCGCAAGCCUGAACCAGCCAUGCCGCGUGCAGGAAGACGGCCCUACGGGUUGUAAACUGCUUUUGCAGGGGAAUAAACCCCCGUACGUGUACGGGGUUGAAUGUACUCUGAGAAUAAGGGUCGGCUAACUCCGUGCCAGCAGCCGCGGUAAUACGGAGGAUCCAAGCGUUAUCCGGAUUUAUUGGGUUUAAAGGGUGCGUAGGCGGCCUAUUAAGUCAGGGGUGAAAGACGGUAGCUCAACUAUCGCAGUGCCUUUGAUACUGAUGGGCUUGAAUGUACUUGAGGUAGGCGGAAUGUGACAAGUAGCGGUGAAAUGCAUAGAUAUGUCACAGAACACCAAUUGCGAAGGCAGCUUACUAAAGUAUGAUUGACGCUGAGGCACGAAAGCGUGGGGAUCAAACAGGAUUAGAUACCCUGGUAGUCCACGCCCUAAACGAUGAAUACUCGAUGUUGGCGAUAUACAGUCAGCGUCAAAGCGAAAGCGUUAAGUAUUCCACCUGGGGUGUACGCCCGCAAGGGUG
rnacentral:rRNA from 1 species